rnacentral:rRNA from 1 species
UACGGAGGGGGCGAGCGUUAUUCGGAAUUAUUGGGCGUAAAGGGCGCGUAGGCGGCUAGGUAAGUCAAAGGUGAAAUCCCACGGCUCACCCGUGGAACUGCUGGGCAUACUGGCGAUCUUGGGCCAACUAGGGGCAGUCGGAACAAGCGGUGGAGCGGUGAAAUGCGUAGAUAUCGCUUGGAACGCCGAAGGUGAAAACAGACUGCUGGGGUUGCGCCGACGCUGAGACACGAAAGCCAGGGGAGCAAACGGG